CGGCGUGCUUAACACAUGCAAGUCGAACGGAAAGGCCCUUCGGGGUACUCGAGUGGCGAACGGGUGAGUAACACGUGGGUGAUCUGCCCUGCACUCUGGGAUAAGCCUGGGAAACUGGGUCUAAUACCGGAUAGGACCACACACUUCAUGGUGAGUGGUGCAAAGCUUUUGCGGUGUGGGAUGAGCCCGCGGCCUAUCAGCUUGUUGGUGGGGUAAUGGCCCACCAAGGCGACGACGGGUAGCCGGCCUGAGAGGGUGACCGGCCACACUGGGACUGAGAUACGGCCCAGACUCCUACGGGAGGCAGCAGUGGGGAAUAUUGCACAAUGGGCGCAAGCCUGAUGCAGCGACGCCGCGUGAGGGAUGACGGCCUUCGGGUUGUAAACCUCUUUCAGUAGGGACGAAGCGAAAGUGACGGUACCUACAGAAGAAGGACCGGCCAACUACGUGCCAGCAGCCGCGGUAAUACGUAGGGUCCGAGCGUUGUCCGGAAUUACUGGGCGUAAAGAGCUCGUAGGUGGUUUGUCGCCUUGUUCGUGAAAACUCACAGCUUAACUGUGGGCGUGCGGGCGAUACGGGCAGACUAGAGUACUGCAGGGGAGACUGGAAUUCCUGGUGUAGCGGUGGAAUGCGCAGAUAUCAGGAGGAACACCGGUGGCGAAGGCGGGUCUCUGGGCAGUAACUGACGCUGAGGAGCGAAAGCGUGGGUAGCGAACAGGAUUAGAUACCCUGGUAGUCCACGCCGUAAACGGUGGGUACUAGGUGUGGGUUUCCUUCCUUGGGAUCCGUGCCGUAGCUAACGCAUUAAGUACCCCGCCUGGGGAGUACGGUCGCAAGACUAAAACUCAAAGGAAUUGACGGGGGCCCGCACAAGCGGCGGAGCAUGUGGAUUAAUUCGAUGCAACGCGAAGAACCUUACCUGGGUUUGACAUGCACAGGACGUACCUAGAGAUAGGUAUUCCCUUGUGGCCUGUGUGCAGGUGGUGCAUGGCUGUCGUCAGCUCGUGUCGUGAGAUGUUGGGUUAAGUCCCGCAACGAGCGCAACCCUUGUCCUAUGUUGCCAGCGGGUAAUGCCGGGGACUCGUAGGAGACUGCCGGGGUCAACUCGGAGGAAGGUGGGGAUGACGUCAAGUCAUCAUGCCCCUUAUGUCCAGGGCUUCACACAUGCUACAAUGGCCAGUACAGAGGGCUGCGAAGCCGCAAGGUGGAGCGAAUCCCUUAAAGCUGGUCUCAGUUCGGAUUGGGGUCUGCAACUCGACCCCAUGAAGUCGGAGUCGCUAGUAAUCGCAGAUCAGCAACGCUGCGGUGAAUACGUUCCCGGGCCUUGUACACACCGCCCGUCACGUCAUGAAAGUCGGUAACACCCGAAGCCAGUGGCCUAACCUUUUGGAGGGAGCUGUCGAAGGUGGGAUCGGCGAUUGGGACG
rnacentral:rRNA from 1 species